AAAAUUAAGAUAGCAAUAAACCAGGGGCCUUCAAAGACCCAAACAAAAACCCACCCCACUUAAUAUCU
rnacentral:tRNA from 1 species